rnacentral:misc_RNA from 1 species
UCUCCGUUGGUGAACCAGCGGAGGGAUCAUUACCGAGUUUACGACUCCCAAACCCCUGUGAACAUACCUAUCGUUGCCUCGGCGGUGCCCGCUCCGGCGGCCCGCCAGAGGACCCCCAAACUCUUGUUUUAUACAGUAUCUUCUGAGUAACACGAUUAAAUAAAUCAAAACUUUCAACAACGGAUCUCUUGGUUCUGACAUCGAUGAAGAACGCAGC